AUUGAACGCUGGCGGCAUGCCUUACACAUGCAAGUCGAACGGCAGCACGGGAGCAAUCCUGGUGGCGAGUGGCGAACGGGUGAGUAAUACAUCGGAACGUGCCCAGUAGUGGGGGAUAGCCCGGCGAAAGCCGGAUUAAUACCGCAUACGACCUACGGGUGAAAGCGGGGGAUCGCAAGACCUCGCGCUAUUGGAGCGGCCGAUGGCAGAUUAGGUAGUUGGUGAGGUAAAGGCUCACCAAGCCAACGAUCUGUAGCUGGUCUGAGAGGACGACCAGCCACACUGGGACUGAGACACGGCCCAGACUCCUACGGGAGGCAGCAGUGGGGAAUUUUGGGACAAUGGGCGCAAGCCUGAUCCAGCCAUGCCGCGUGCGGGAAGAAGGGCCUUCGGGUUGUUAAACCGGCUUUUAGUUCAGGGAGAAACGACUCCGAGCC
rnacentral:rRNA from 1 species